UUUCCGUAAGUGAACCUGCGGAAGGAUCAUUAAAAAAUUGGACUCCAUUGGUGAGUUCAUUAAUAAUCCCUACCCUUUGUGAAUUUGUUUGUUUGAAUAAUUUUUUUUCCAAAAAAUUAUUGAAUGUCUUUCCUUGUUUUGGUGGAGCUUGUAAAGUGAAACCAGGCAGGGGAAUGGCAAACAAUAAUUAUUUUUGAAAAAGACCUUUUUUUAAAAUUAAACUUUUUGUAUUCAUUUGUCUAAAAUUAAUUUUUAUAAUAUAAAAACAACUUUUGACAAUGGAUCUCUUGGUUCUCGCAACGAUGAAGAACGCAGCAAAAUGCGAUAAGUAGUGUGAAUUGCAGAAUACGUGAAUCAUCGAAUCUUCGAACGCAUAUUGCACUUUUUUAGUUUACUAAAAAAGUAUGUCUGUUUGAGUAUCAGUAAAAUAUUCUCAUAAAAAACAUUGUUUUUUUUAUGGUUAUGAGUGUUUUACAACGAUAACAAGUUGUUUCACUUUAAAUUCUUUGUUAUCAAAAAAUCAUUAAAAGCUAAUUUUAAAGAUUUUUUAAAAUUGGAUAAAAUUUUCCCGUAAAAAGGAAUAACCUAAACAAUUUUAAAAAAUUAAAAUUGGUUUGAUUUUUUUUGAAGCCCAAAGGAAAAAAAAACGAAAUUAACUUGAUCUCAAAUCAGAUAAGAGUACCCGCUGAACUUAAGCAUAUCAAUAAGCGGAGGAAAAGAAACUAACUAGGAUUCCCUCAGUAACGGCGAGUGAAGCGGGAAGAGCUCAAAUUUGAAAUCCUCAAGGUUUUACCUUGACGAAUUGUAGUUUAAAGAAGUGUUUUCUGUUGGAGUUUUGGUAAAAGUUCUUUGGAAAAGGACAUCAUAGAGGGUGAGAAUCCCGUAUUUGACCAUUAUCUCCAGCUUUGUGAUACACUUUCAAAGAGUCGGAUUGUUUGGGAAUGCAGUCCAAAAUGGGUGGUAAACUUCAUCUAAAGCUAAAUACUGGCGAGAGACCGAUAGCGAACAAGUACCGUGAGGGAAAGAUGAAAAGAACUUUGAAAAGAGAGUUAAACAGUACGUGAAAUUGUCAAAAGGGAAGCGUUUGACACCAGUGUUGUUUUCUCGAAAAUCAAUUAAAAAAGGCCGGAUUUUGUGUUGUAUUGACUUUAUCAGCUUUCUGCACUCUUUUCUUGUCUUUUUUAAUGCACUUUUCGUUUAACAAGUCAACAUCAAUUUCUUUUGUUGUAAAAGGGUCAUCGGAAGGUGGCUUUCUUUUCGGAGAAAGUGUUUAUAGCCUUUGGCCUCUGCAAUCGGAGAGAUUGAGGUCUGCAGCGUAGAUCCCUCGGGGUUAGAUACAUUUGUGCUAAGUUAUAGCCUUUCAUAGACAACUUGUUGACUAUGAUCAGUCAUGUAGCUUACUCGCUUAUGCUAUUU
rnacentral:misc_RNA from 1 species